rnacentral:rRNA from 1 species
AUUGAACGCUGGCGGCAGGCCUAACACAUGCAAGUCGAGCGGAGCGGCGGACGGGGGAGUAAUGCCUAGGAAUCUGCAUGGUAGUGGGGGAUAAAGUCCGGACACGGGCGCUAAUACCACAUACAAUCAGAUAAGACUAGUUCGGAUUAGCUAGUUGGGGGGGUAAAGGCCUAGCAAGGCGACGAUCCGUAACUGGUCUGAGAGGAGGAUCAGUCACACUGGAACUGAGACACGGUCCAGACUCCUACGUGAGGCAGCAGUGGGGAAUAUUGGACAAUGGGCGAAAGCCUGAUCCAGCCAUGCCGCGUGUGUGAAGAAGGUCUUCGGAUUGUAAAGCACUUUAAGUUGGGAGGCGUUACCAACAGAAUAAGCACCGGCUAACUUCGUGCCAGCAGCAGCGGUAAUUC